ensembl:lncRNA
AAGGGAACGUACUCGGUUACUAAUGUAACCUCGGUUCCCUGAAAUACGGGAACGAGUACUGCAUUCCUUGCCAUGCUAAAAGGCUGCACGACUCAGUCGUCGCUUCAGUAGAAGUAACCUGAAUUCCUGUGGCGAAGCAGCCAAUAUAUAGCCAGAUCCCCCGCCCAUUUUGGCGGGCUUCGCUGCCAUAGGUUCGUGCAGCACCGCUGCCGAGCCAUUGGUUUGUUUUAAUAACACUGCACGAACCAACGGCCGUGCAGUUUCACUGCGUGAUUGAAUAAGGCUUCAGUUCAGGAGAAAAAAGGAGUUUUUCCCAUAAGCGUCUUCGACGCAGUACUCGUUCCCAUAUUUCAGGGAACCGAGGUUACGUUAGUAACCGAGUACGUUUUCCCUUAUGCAAAAUGCAUAGCGAUAUUGUAAAAUGAAGCAAAUAAAUGGCAUAUAUCACAAAAAUAUAGAGAACACUUAUUCUUUAAUAGAUAUUAAAUAUACGGAUGGUUGCAUGUGUAGUGUCAAUUGUAUUUUUUUAGUGUCUUGAUAUAAAAUAUUACAUGUUCAUACCACAUAUAUUGAUAGUCCACGUAUAUACGAAUAUACUGUAUAUUUAAUUUGUGUUGUAUGUGGUUUUCUAAUAGUGAAGGUACUUCACAAUCCUUAUCAACAAUAGUCAAAGUGGUAGGCGUUGUCCUCAUUGUCAUUUAUGUUUGAAGGCCACAAUAGCCCUGCAAUGCCAGUUGCAUAACCUGGAGGCCAUGAAAACGGAAAUGGACGUCUCAGACAAUCAACUGGAGAGAUGGAUCAUUGAUAUCAAUGAGUGGGCAGAAGGUAGGCUAUACUGUUUUAUUCUGUUUGAUAUGGUGCUUGAUGUAUCACUUCUGACUUAUCUUGGCUGCAAUUCCAAAGAGGCUCAUUGUAAUCCUAGUCAAAGAGCACAUACUCUGAUUGCCGAUGACGUGUGGACAAGAUUAUUCCUAUGGGGACAAUAAAGAACCUAACUAACCUAACUAUACUCAACCUUAGCUACAAGUGUAGCCUCUCAGUUACAGAUAAAUAUGAAAAGAUUGUUGAGGCUUUAUUUUGCUCAUACACCAGAAAUAAUAUUUUUUCAUGGAAUCAAGAAGCAUAUUUCUUAUCUCUUAAUUUCUUCCUCUCAGCAACAACAUCCCCAAAUGAUGCUGAUGUUGCCGCUGUUGCCAGCCGAAUUGAGGAGCUGGUGGCAAGUGUUAAGAGGAGGUCCCAGCAUUUUUACAAGGAUAGUGACGGAUGCAAAGGACGUGCCCGAAUCCGCCGAAAGAUCAGGGAGGAAAAAAAAAUCUUAAAUUCUGUAGUGGAAAAGUACAACACCUUGGUUCCUAAUGCAGAAAAACUGUCAUUGGACACCAUUCUAUCUGACGAGAUUGUUUGGCCAUGGCAGCUUACACACGGUGACUCUGUAGAUCUAAGGACAAAGAGGAAGGCGUUUGACAUUGUGAUGGCAGUAAGGAGACUUGAGGAGGAGAAGAGGAUUCUUAUUGCAGAGAUGAACAAGCAUUGGAAGUCUCUUUGCUCCCGUGCAGACACCCUGAAGCAGAUGUCAUCCCAGCUUUCUAAUGUGACAUCAGGUAUGUAUUUGUUAUACUUGGCAUACAUUACAAUAUUUCUGAAUGUUUCUAAUUAAUAAAGGCUCAAUAUGUUUUAACAUGUAAGGUGAGACGUGGGGCCUGCUUCAAGAUGGUAUCCGAGGUCUACAGAGCUUGACGAUGAAGAACAAGCAAGCAAGCAACAGCCUGGCAAAGCAUGCAAAGAAAUAUUAUGUUCAAGUUCUGACUGAAACAGAAAUUAACUUUGAUAGUGAUUCUGAGGAAUACCAUACCAGUAGUGACUCUGAGCAAGAUUAAACAUGGCCAGAGUCCUUUUUAUGCUGUUGUGUGCUGGGGAGGCAGCAUUAAAGAAGAGGGCCGCUGGGACAGGUUGUUAAGGAAAGCUGGCUCUGUGUUUGGCAUGGAGCUGGAGUUAAUUAUUUAACAAACUGAGGAUAAUUUGCAGUAGCAGUCUUCUGUCAUGCUCAACACUGAAGAGGUCCUUUGUCCCCAGGGCAAACCAGCAACUCAAUGUCACAGAAAAGGUUAGGGGAGAAAUUGACUUUUCAGCAUGAGUCUCACCCUGCGCCAACCAUUACAUCACUUUGUCUAUUGUCUAGUAUCCACUAUCCAUUUGACUGUCUUACACAGUCAAAUGGACAUUAGCCCCUCUACACAUUCUGG